rnacentral:rRNA from 1 species
UACGAAGGGGGCGAGCGUUGUUCGGAUUUACUGGGCGUAAAGGGCGCGCAGGCGGCUCAUUUUGUCAGGCGUGAAAGCCCCGGGCUUAACCUGGGAACUGCGUUUGAUACGGAUGGGCUAGAGUUCGGGAGAGGAGAGUGGAAUUCCCAGUGUAGAGGUGAAAUUCGUAGAUAUUGGGAAGAACACCGGUGGCGAAGGCGGCUCUCUGGACCGAUACUGACGCUGAGGCGCGAAAGCGUGAGGAGCAAACAGG